rnacentral:rRNA from 1 species
CCGGGGUACGGGUGGUAACGGUAACCGGCGUAACGGUAAACUCGCCGUAUACGGUGGGGAUAACACUUAGAAAUAGGUGCUAAUACUGCAUAAGCGCACAGCUUCGCAUGGAGCGGUGUGAAAAACUCUGGUGGUAUACGAUGGUUCCGCGUCUGAUUAGCUAGUUGGUGGGGUAAUGGCCUACCAAGGCAACGAUCAGUAGCCGGCCUGAGAGGGUGAACGGCCACAUUGGGACUGAGACACGGCCCAAACUCCUACGGAAGGCAGCAG